UACGGAGGGAGCUAGCGCUGUUCGGAAUUACUGGGCGUAAAGCGCACGUAGGCGGCUUUGUAAGUUAGAGGUGAAAGCCCGGGGCUCAACUCCGGAACUGCCUUUAAAACUGCAUCGCUUGAAUCCAGGAGAGGUGAGUGGAAUUCCGAGUGUAGAGGUGAAAUUCGUAGAUAUUCGGAAGAACACCAGUGGCGAAGGCGGCUCACUGGACUGGUAUUGACGCUGAGGUGCGAAAGCGUGGGGAGCAAACAGG
rnacentral:rRNA from 1 species